GGCGAACGGGUGAGUAACACGUGAGUAACCUUGCCCUUUGACUUCUGGGAUAAGCCUGGGAAACUGGGUCUAAUACCGGAUACGACUGUCCCGCGCAUGCGGUGGUGGUGGAAAGCUUUUGCGGUUUUGGAUGGACUCGCGGCCUAUCAGCUUGUUGGUGGGGUAAUGGCCUACCAAGGCGACGACGGGUAGCCGGCCUGAGAGGGUGACCGGCCACACUGGGACUGAGACACGGCCCNAGACUCCUACGGGAGGCAGCAGUGGGGAAUAUUGCACAAUGGGCGAAAGCCUGAUGCAGCGACGCCGCGUGAGGGAUGACGGCCUUCGGGUUGUAAACCUCUUUCAGUAGGGAAGAAGCGAAAGUGACGGUACCUGCAGAAGAAGCGCCGGCUAACUACGUGCCAGCAGCCGCGGUAAUACGUAGGGCGCAAGCGUUAUCCGGAAUUAUUGGGCGUAAAGAGCUCGUAGGCGGUUUGUCGCGUCUGCUGUGAAAGACCGGGGCUCAACUCCGGUUCUGCAGUGGGUACGGGCAGACUAGAGUGAUGUAGGGGAGACUGGAAUUCCUGGUGUAGCGGUGAAAUGCGCAGAUAUCAGGAGGAACACCGAUGGCGAAGGCAGGUCUCUGGGCAUUAACUGACGCUGAGGAGCGAAAGCAUGGGGAGCGAACAGGAUUAGAUACCCUGGUAGUCCAUGCCGUAAACGUUGGGCACUAGGUGUGGGGGACAUUCCACGUUUUCCGCGCCGUAGCUAACGCAUUAAGUGCCCCGCCUGGGGAGUACGGCCGCAAGGCUAAAACUCAAAGGAAUUGACGGGGGCCCGCACAAGCGGCGGAGCAUGCGGAUUAAUUCGAUGCAACGCGAAGAACCUUACCAAGGCUUGACAUGAACCGGUAACGCCUNGGAAACAGGUGCCCCGCUUGCGGUCGGUUUACAGGUGGUGCAUGGNUUGUCGUCAGCUCGUGUCGUGAGAUGUUGGGUUAAGUCCNCGCAACGAGCGCAACCCUCGUUCUAUGUUGCCAGCGCGUGAUGGCGGGGACUCAUAGGAGACUGCCGGGGUCAACUCGGAGGAAGGUGGGGACGACGUCAAAUCAUCAUGCCCCUUAUGUCUUGGGCUUCACGCAUGCUACAAUGGCCGGUACAAAGGGUUGCGAUACUGUGAGGUGGAGCUAAUCCCAAAAAGCCGGUCUCAAGUUCGGAUUGGGGUCUGCAACUUCGGACCCCAUGGAAAGUCGGAGUCGCU
rnacentral:rRNA from 1 species